AAUAAUUUAAAAAAAUAAAUAAAUAUUGACUUUUUAUUUUUAAAAAUGAAGAUAAAUUAUAUAUCAAAAUAUUUACAUGUGGCAACUUUUAAUUGGUAAUAAAAGUCAAUUUUGAGCCUUUUCACGCGUUUGUUGCGCGUGUAUACACGCAAAGGGUCAAAAUUGCGUAUUUGCAAUGAUUUGAGUAAGAUUCGUGGAGUAAUAGAUCAGGG
rnacentral:lncRNA from 1 species